UACAGGGGGGGCAAGCGUUGUUCGGAAUUACUGGGCGUAAAGGGCUCGUAGGCGGCCAACUAGGUCCGACGUGAAAUCCCAAAGCUUAACUUUGGAACUGCGUCGGAUACUGGAUGGCUUGAAUUCGGGAGAGGGAUGCAGAAUUCCAGGUGUAGCGGUGAAAUGCGUAGAUAUCUGGAGGAAUACCGGUGGCGAAGGCGGCAUCCUGGACCGACAUUGACGCUGAGGAGCGAAAGCUAGGGGAGCAAACGGG
rnacentral:rRNA from 1 species